UUGUGUUUUCCAGAUACUGUAGUAGCCUGAGUGUGGUAUGAGGACUAUCUAGCAAGGUCUCAUCUCUUAUGCCUUAGCUGCUGUGGAACAUUGCAAAAGCUUCGUCCCACCUGGAAGAUCAAUUUGAAAUGGAUCCUGUGGCAUGGCAGGUGCUGUCCAGAGAGCUUGACAGUGGAGGAAACAGCGAAAGAAUGGCGACUGUGGUACCAUUGAUCAAGCCAGCGUGUCUGUUCUUGGUAGAGCGGCUAAUAAGGCCACCGGUGCAGUGAGAACGUAAACCCCAGAGGAAACUUCUUUGGAGAAUCCAGACGAUGUGUUUGGAGAGCUCCAGCAUGCUGAGCAGGGACUCAGUGCCACAGCAGUACUUGGUGGCCUGCAGGUUUCCCCUCUGCCAGGCCUCGGCAUCUAAAUCCUCUAGGAAUUUCUCAGCAGUCAGACUGCAGCACUUACAUGCCCCGUGUGUGGUUGUUUCCUAACCCGGAAAGAGAGACCAAUGCAGAGAGCAAGAUCUAAUAUGGACCUGAUAACCGACGAUGGGAUUUCAGCAGGAUACUUGAUUCCUCCCCCCCACCCUGAGGAUGCUUUCAGACCCAAGUCUGGUCGCUUUGGGAAUGCGCAGAGUGGCUGGAUCUGGGACUGUACAAAUCUGAAAUGGAAGUUGGCAAGUACUCCAGAGAGAUCAUUGUCUGCCUCAAUACAGGAAACAAAUAGAUUGGCCAGCUGA
rnacentral:lncRNA from 1 species